CAGAGCAGCACCAAAUACUGAAUGUGCUGACCCGCAAACCCUUUUUUGGGGGGGAUCAAAUCAACUGGCUGCACAGCACUGCCUCGCGCCCUCAUCCACGCACGGCACCUUCGCAGCAGAUGGCUCAACAUUUAAAGCCCUGCACGGUGUGGACUAUAGAUUUGCCUGAGUUAAUCCCUGUGAUCUCAGAUGUGGCCUGGCUCGGGCUGGAGCUCGGGCUGCUGAUUUAUUCCACAGAGGGAGGGAUGAGGUGGGACAGAAAGGACACUGUGACCCCAGAAAAAAAACUUUCCAUGCUGUUGUAACAAUAGUAGUCAGAGUGUUCCUCCAUGACAGUGCUGGAAAGUAACUCAUUUUCAGCGAGACAAGUGGUGUCUUCAUGUCAACUAUGAUGUAAGCUUUGGGCAUUAUGUGCUCAUUGUGCAGAAAAUUGCUGAAGAUGUUGACGGAGUGGGAUCCAGAGGACGCCUGCAGCUCCUUGCUGCUCACCCUCUAGCAACCAGCGAGUUUUGCCAGCAACUCAAGC